CAGAACUCUUCCAAAAAAGCAGAAAUGACAAAAAUAAGCAUUUAUCAAAGAGAGAGGUGCACAUGUAUCCUUCUUACAAGUGCGCUAUCUAUACACCCUACACACACCUUAGCCGUUGUACCCACCCACACAUAAAGCACCUAAAAUAGAUACGCACCGUGCGCAGUUAUGCGCGUUGCUGCGCGUGUACAGACGAACAUAUAGUAAACCUGCUUCUUUUCAGUUCAAUUAUCUCGUGUCCUUUUGCGCUUUUCCCUAUCCGACGGAGAGAAAUAUGUCAUCCGUCUCUUCAACCUCACUGUCGAGUACUGAUGCUCAGCCGGUAGAUGAAGACCUCCAAGCGGCUAUCAGGCUGUUUCGCACUAACGACGACUUUCGCAGUGAGCUCAAGUCGGUCAUCUCCGAAUCGCUCCAACCACUAGUCCUCAAGAUAAAAGCAGAACUCCUCUCUGAACUCUCUCCUCAAGACAUCUCCGUAUCGAAUUGCAAAAAACUACUCAAGCCAGCCUUCAACCCAAGUAACUACAUUUACAGAGAAUUCCCUUACGCAGAGGUAACCGCAUGGACGUACUAUGAUACAGAGGGGUUUGUCUAUGGAUUUCCUGAAGAAAUAACUGUCACCGUAUUUACACAAAACUCAGUCAGCUACCUAUGCAAUUUCAAAGAUGUCGUCAACGCUGCCAACGUCAUCUUCCUGAUUCGCGUAGGAAAGUUGUACAAAACAGUUAACCAAGUGAAGUCUUUGUCCUGCGUCAU